UGGGGAAUCUUCCGCAAUGGACGAAAGUCUGACGGAGCAACGCCGCGUGAGUGAUGACGGCCUUCGGGUUGUAAAGCUCUGUUAAUCGGGACGAAUGGUUCUUGUGCAAAUAGUGCGAGGAUUUGACUGUACCGGAAUAGAAAGCCACGGCUAACUACGUGCCAGCAGCCGCGGUAAUACGUAGGUGGCAAGCGUUGUCCGGAAUUAUUGGGCGUAAAGCGCGCGCAGGCGGAUUGGUCAGUCUGUCUUAAAAGUUCGGGGCUUAACCCCGUGAUGGGAUGGAAACUGCCAAUCUAGAGUAUCGGAGAGGAAAGUGGAAUUCCUAGUGUAGCGGUGAAAUGCGUAGAUAUUAGGAAGAACACCAGUGGCGAAGGCGACUUUCUGGACGAAAACUGACGCUGAGGCGCGAAAGCCAGGGGAGCGAACGGG
rnacentral:rRNA from 1 species